UACGUAGGUGGCGAGCGUUGUCCGGAUUUACUGGGCGUAAAGGGAGCGUAGGCGGACUUUUAAGUGAGAUGUGAAAUACUCGGGCUCAACUUGAGUGCUGCAUUUCAAACUGGAAGUCUAGAGUGCAGGAGAGGAGAACGGAAUUCCAUGUGUAGCGGUGAAAUGCGUAGAUAUAUGGAGGAACACCAGUGGCGAAGGCGGCUUCCUGGUCUGCAACUGACACUGAGGCGCGAAAGCGUGGGGAGCAAACAGG
rnacentral:rRNA from 1 species